GUACCCAGUGAUUAUAAAAAGACGCGUUAUUCUGAGGGUUUCACUAGAUGUCAGUUUUCUGCCUUUCUCUGCUCUGGUUGUUUCUUCUUCUUUUUUUUCUUUCUUCCUGUCCUCUGGUCUGUCCUGAAACUGACACCUGGUCCGUUGAUUGUGGUUAUGAGAGAUGAGGGUGC